GACGAACGCUGGCGGCGUGCUUAACACAUGCAAGUCGAACGGAAAGGCCCUGCUCUUGUGGGGUGCUCGAGUGGCGAACGGGUGAGUAACACGUGAGUAACCUGCCCUUGACUUUGGGAUAACUCCAGGAAACUGGGGCUAAUACCGGAUAGGAGCUCCUGCUGCAUGGUGGGGGUUGGAAAGUUUCGGCGGUUGGGGAUGGACUCGCGGCUUAUCAGCUUGUUGGUGGGGUAGUGGCUUACCAAGGCUUUGACGGGUAGCCGGCCUGAGCGGGUGACCGGCCACAUUGGGACUGAGGUACGGCCCAGACUCCUACGGGAGGCAGCAGUGGGGAAUAUUGCGCAAUGGGCGGAAGCCUGAUGCAGCAACGCCGCGUGCGGGAUGACGGCCUUCGGGUUGUAAACCGCUUUCGCCUGUGACGAAGCGUGAGUGACGGUAAUGGGUAAAGAAGCACCGGCUAACUACGUG
rnacentral:rRNA from 1 species